UACGUAGGGGGCGAGCGUUGUCCGGAUUUCUUGGGCGUAAAGAGCGUGUAGGCGGCCAGGUAGGUCUGCUGUGAAAACUCGAGGCUCAACCUCGAGACGUCGGCGGAAACCAUCUGGCUAGAGUCCGGAAGAGGAGAGUGGAAUUCCUGGUGUAGCGGUGAAAUGCGCAGAUAUCAGGAAGAACACCCGUGGCGAAGGCGGCUCUCUGGGACGGUACUGACGCUGAGACGCGAAAGCGUGGGGAGCGAACAGG
rnacentral:rRNA from 1 species